CUCUUAUCACAAUGAUGAGGUACCUGAAUGAAAGUGAUAUAUAUCAACCAGUCGAAACAAGUGACAUCAGAAUCGCAGAAGAUUUCAGUUUGGUGCUCAGCCUUGACAUCAGCAGCAACCCCAAAUCUAAUGUAAUUUUGUUGAAUAACCAGAAAACAGUUGCGAUAGGGUACAGUUUCUAACACUGCUGGAAAAUACAAUGUUGAAUCAAAGAAUCUUCAGUGUAACCACACAGGAAGGUAUGGCGUCAGGGCGACCAACUUCGUCACUCAAAAUAGAAGCAAUGUCAACCCCGAGAUGAAGCAGUUUGGACUUCAAGUUAGUUGUACCCCACGAAGACUUGGGUCUGCCAAUAAUGUAAUUGGAUUGGCAGGGAGAAAGGAUCAGACCAUCCCAUUCAAUAUCACAGUGAUAGCCAACCCAGUGCCAACUGGCCAAUGGUCCAAUGGUGUGAGGACCCUUCCUGUUCUUCCAAACAACAACUAUACGUAUACUGUCAGGGGAAAUGUCCAGGUCAGGUCUGUGAACGACUACCGAAAAUAUCAUGUUAACAUUACUAACGGUUUACAAGGGACAUUGACAGUCACAUUCCAGAUUCGCCCUGAAGAUGUACCAGAUAGACCGAUCAACUUUAGUACAUCAGAUGUGGGAUCUGAUAAUGUCAGGGUCAUGUGGACACCAGGAUUUGACGGUGGGAAUCCACAGCAAUUCCAUGUUGACAUUAUGGCAGUCGGCGAAGAAUGGGUUACCGACACAUUGAAUAUCUCUGAUGAAGGUCAGGGAGUACCGAUGACACACACACUUGAGGGACUCGCCCCUUCCACUGACUACAUCAUCAGACUCAAUGUCUCUAACAAAAUCGGAAAGGGAAAUUCCUCGGAGAUAAGUGUCCGGACUUUAGCGCUCCCGCCGCCAGCCGCCCCCCCCCCCAGUCCAACUUGACUGUCAUCAUAGUGGUGAUUUUUAUAAUCCUUCUUGCGGUUGUCGCCGGGAUCUUCGGUCUCCUGGUGUUUAAGCAGAAACGGAAUCAACAAGGUGGCGCUAAAAAACUAGGUGGUGGUACAAAACAUGAAUUUGCAACCACAAAACAACGAAUACGCUGUGGUAUCAAAACCACCCAAAGGUGGUGCUUCAAGAAAUGAAGUAUAAACAACAGAUGCCAAUGCUGAGUAUGCAGUCGUAAUCAAAACCAUCAAAAGGCAAAGGUGGCGCUGCAAAAAAUAACAUCGUGAGCACAGACAACGAUAACAAUGAGUACGCUGUUGUAUCAAAACCGCCCAAAGGUAAAGUUAC